rnacentral:rRNA from 1 species
AACAGGAAGCAGCUUGCUGCUUCGCUGACGAGUGGCGGACGGGUGAGUAAUGUCUGGGAAACUGCCUGAUGGAGGGGGAUAACUACUGGAAACGGUGGCUAAUACCGCAUAACGUCGCAAGACCAAAGAGGGGGACCUUCGGGCCUCUUGCCAUCAGAUGUGCCCAGAUGGGAUUAGCUUGUUGGUGAGGUAACGGCUCACCAAGGCGACGAUCCCUAGCUGGUCUGAGAGGAUGACCAGCCACACUGGAACUGAGACACGGUCCAGACUCCUACGGGAGGCAGCAGUGGGGAAUAUUGCACAAUGGGCGCAAGCCUGAUGCAGCCAUGCCGCGUGUAUGAAGAAGGCCUU